rnacentral:rRNA from 1 species
GACGAACGCUGGCGGCGUGCUUAACCCAUGCAAGUCGAACGGAAAGGCCCUGCUUUUGUGGGGUGCUCGAGUGGCGAACGGGUGAGUAACACGUGAGUAACCUGCCCUUGACUUUGGGAUAACUUCAGGAAACUGGGGCUAAUACCGGAUAGGAGCUCCUGCUGCAGGGUGGGGGUUGGAAAGUUUCGGCGGUUGGGGAUGGACUCGCGGCUUAUCAGCUUGUUGGUGGGGUAGUGGCUUACCAAGGCUUUGACGGGUAGCCGGCCUGAGAGGGUGACCGGCCACAUUGGGACUGAGAUACGGCCCAGACUCCUACGGGAGGCAGCAGUGGGGAAUAUUGCACAAUGGGCGGAAGCCUGAUGCAGCAACGCCGCGUGCGGGAUGACGGCCUUCGGGUUGUAAACCGCUUUCGCCUGUGACGAAGCGUGAGUGACGGUAAUGGGUAAAGAAGCACCGGCUAACUACGUG